rnacentral:lncRNA from 1 species
UUCAGAUAGCGGAGGUAUAUACGAAUUAGUGACUGAUCUAACUCACUGUGAAAAUAGUGUAGACGAGACGGAAACUAAUUUGUUGGUUGUUUGUGGGAAACCAAUCAGCGUACUAUAUUGAAUACUAUUAAAGACUCGAUGUGUGUUAGGUUUAGACUUGUAUAUAUGUACAUUGUUGACGAGAGAAGAAAAUCGAUUUAUCUUUAGAUAAAUAUUGGUUAGAG